AUGGUCGACAAGGCCUGCGGGGGCACCGAGAAGGAGGCCAGCAGCGUCGCCCACAUCGAGCACUUGUUUGCCGAGCUCUCCUCGGUCGGUCAGAAGGUGCUUCAAUUCAAUAUGCUGUCCACGUCUGGUGGGCAGGAUGCCCUCAAGGAAUCCGUGGACAAGCAUGGCGGCUGCCCCGGCAACAAGACGGUCUAUCUAUAUUCUGCCCAAUGCAGCGCGGACUGCAACGAGGCAUGCUCUAACCACUGCGACAUGGACUGCCCCUACAUAGCCGCAAGAUUUGGCUACAUCAUGGCUACACCUGCCAAUAAGAAAGCCAUCGACCAAGACAUGGAAUGCUUCAAGCGUUGCUCAAAGGAAAAGGAUGCCACAAAUGACAAAUGCCGCGUUGCAUGCAAGCUGGCUGCCUCGCUCCCUUGA
rnacentral:rRNA from 1 species